rnacentral:lncRNA from 10 species
CUCCAUUUUAAGCAAUGGGAUUUGCUAAUAGUAAAUAUUCAACACAAAUCUGCUGACAAAAAUCAAUAAAAGAAUGCUGCUUAAAAUAUCUAGUUUUUGAAAAAUUAUUUAAAUAGACAUGUAGUUCAUUUUAAUGAGACCAUCAAUUGCAGUUCCUCAGACUUUAUAGUUCUUAUGUUUGUGAGGAGACACUUUUAGCAAAUUUUCUUUUUAGGAAGGGAGGGAGGAAAAAUGCUUGGUAUUAUUUCUUUCUAACUUGUACAUGCAAACUAAUUUUAAGAACUCAUACAGCUUCAGUUUUUUCCUUUGUCAACUUUUAGGUUGGUAUCUACCCGAAACAGAGUUUGAGUGAAUGUUUUUUAAAGAUUUUCAUACAAUUUUACACCGUUAAUCUUCUAUAGCUCUUGAUGAUGAGGAGCAGCCAGCAUUUUUCUCAUCAGGUUGUCCUGGCAAGAAGUCAAGGUUCGUUGCACCUGAAGAAGGGGGACCUGCAGCAGAAUCUAAACUGGGCUCAGCUUAACUAAAUGCCCGACAAUUCUGUCUCUCUCCACUGGUUCUGCGUUCACAUCAGCACUGAGUAUUGGGCAUGAGAUCUGACUAUUCAAAGAGGGUGACUAAUACAAGCCAGAAAUUCAGGCACUUGUGAGGAAGAGUUGACCAAUGAAGAAUAGGAGACGUGAGGACUUGUUUUCUAGUCCACUUCCCAUCCAGCUCCCAACUGCUCCAACACGGAGGUGCUCCAUAUGGCCUGCUAUGCUUCCUGUGAGGCAAUGCCAGCUUCACACUGACCCACAUUGUUUUUACUUUUCUGGCUUCCCUGCCUCAGUUUCCUAUUUCUCUCACUCUUGCUGCCCUGGGAUUGCAUACCCUCCGCUCAGCCUGCUCAUUCUCCCCAACAAAGCAGUAAGAGCCAAGCUUUACCUUUUUUGCUGUUACAAAUAAUGUCCCCCCAAAAUAUUUUUACAAAUACUUCUGUAUGCUCAUGUUCAAAUAUUUCUUGGGGAUAACGAAGUACUAUGAGUGAGGUUGCUGGGGGUGAAUGUUGCACACAUUGCAAAUUUUACUAGAUAUUCCUAAGCCUUGCAUCUCUCAUCAUGUACAGGCUUUUACUGUGACUCAUUUUACCUAUACUUCCAACAGCACUGGAUGUUAUAAAAAAAAAAUUUAUACUUCAUGCCAAGUUCACACGUGAAAAAUAGCAUUUUACUUUUUUUUAAAUUUGUGUUUUGUUAAUUCAGGAGGACAAAUAGCUUUCUGUUUUUUUACUGGCCACUAAAAUUUCUUCUUCUAAAAGAUUCCGUUUGUAUUGUUUUCUUUUGGUAGCAUAUAUGCCACACAUAUGAUGUAGUAUAUGGGAUUAUUUUACCCUAUUUGGCCCUUUGCUACUGAGGUACUAUUUUAAAAAAACAUUGAUUUUAUAAUUGAUUAUUAUUAGCACAUAAUUAUUUUUCUUGUAUGUUCCUAGUUUUACUAUCAAGUGGAUGUUUCAACUUGAUUCUAUGUUUAAUACAGCUCAGCACUUACCAUCAUUUUUUAAUAUUAUCAUUGUUCAUUCUUAAGUUCCUAAUUUUAGUUAAUUCCUUGGUUGCCAAAAAACCCAAACAAAAAAACAAGAAAAAACU